rnacentral:miRNA from 1 species
UUGGGCUUGCAGCAGAGAGUAA